GGAGUUUAGCGUUCACGGCUCCUGAUGUCUUCUGCUCGGUUUGGCCUCGCUGGACACUGCGGCCCUCCACAACAGAUGAUUCCACAUACUAGAUGACCAAGAAAUGGAAAUACUAAUCAUUAUGUAUAUUUAUAUAUCAGCGAGACCUGGACUCACCUCUGAUCUUUCUUGGGGUACGUGAAGGCCUUCUGCACUGCAGUGGAACAAGGGUGUUGAUGCAGAACUUUCCACCAGCAGAUGGAGACAUAUCACCUGCAUAUCAUAAUGGCAUUUCAUUCAUGUUAUGUGUGUGUAUGUGUAUGUGUGUGUGUGCACGCGUGCAGGUGUCGGGAACGUUUCCCAUCAGGUUUGUAAAAGGCUUGUAAUUUCUGGAUUGGUUCUUUUUCCUCCUCUGAGUCCUUCUCUUUCUCAUGUCACCCCUUCAGACUUGGCCCCUGUCCAGAUCUAACCCUUUUAAAUCUGGCACACUUGGCAUCCAAGACGCACGCACAAGGUUCAAAUUCUAGUACACAACAUGAACAUAUUAUUGUCCAGGUUUGUCUAUAUAACAAGAGUAACAAUAC